UUUCCCGGUGAAAUUAAGCAUAUCAAUAAGCGGAGGAAAAGAAACCAACCGGGAUUGCCUUAGUAACGGCGAGUGAAGCGGCAAAAGCUCAAAUUUGAAAUCUGGCGUCUUCGACGUCCGAGUUGUAAUUUGAAGAAGGCAACUUUGUAGCUGGUCCUUGUCUAUGUUCCUUGGAACAGGACGUCAUAGAGGGUGAGAAUCCCGUGUGGCGAGGAUCCCAGUUAUUUGUAAAGUGCUUUCGACGAGUCGAGUUGUUUGGGAAUGCAGCUCUAAGUGGGUGGUAAAUUCCAUCUAAAGCUAAAUAUUGGCGAGAGACCGAUAGCGAACAAGUACAGUGAUGGAAAGAUGAAAAGAACUUUGAAAAGAGAGUGAAAAAGUACGUGAAAUUGUUGAAAGGGAAGGGCAUUUGAUCAGACAUGGCGUUUGCUUCGGCUUUCGCUGGGCCAGCAUCAGUUUUAGCGGUUGGAUAAAUCCUCGGGAAUGUGGCUCUGCUUCGGUAGAGUGUUAUAGCCCGUGGGAAUACAGCCAGCUGGGACUGAGGAUUGCGACUUUUGUCAAGGAUGCUGGCGUAAUGGUUAAAUGCCGCCCGUCUUGAAACACGGACCAAGGAGUCUAACGUCUAUGCGAGUGUUUGGGUGUAAAACCCGUACGCGUAAUGAAAGUGAACGUAGGUGAGGGCCCGCAAGGGUGCAUCAUCGACCGAUCCUGAUGUCUUCGGAUGGAUUUGAGUAAGAGCAUAGCUGUUGGGACCCGAAAGAUGGUGAACUAUGCCUGAAUAGGGUGAAGCCAGAGGAAACUCUGGUGGAGGCUCGUAGCGGUUCUGACGUGCAAAUCGAUCGUCGAAUUUGGGUAUAGGGGCGAAAGACUAAUCGAACCAUCUAGUAGCUGGUUCC
rnacentral:rRNA from 1 species